rnacentral:rRNA from 1 species
CGGAUUGUAGUCUGCAACUCGACUACAUGAAGCUGGAAUCGCUAGUAAUCGCGAAUCAGAAUGUCGCGGUGAAUACGUUCCCGGGUCUUGUACACACCGCCCGUCACACCAUGGGAGUCAGUAACGCCCGAAGCCGGUGACCUAACCGAAAGGGAGGAGCCGUCGAAGGUGGGACCGAUAACUGGGGUGAAGUCGUAACAAGGUAAC